rnacentral:rRNA from 1 species
AUUAUUGAUGAACUGCUGGAUGAGCUUGCAGGUGCUGGCUGGUUUUCUAAGUUGGAUCUGAGAUCAGGAUAUCACCAGAUCAGGCUGGCACCAGGAGAAGAACAUAAGAUUGCUUUCCAAACUCAUAUUGGUCACUUUGAAUUUUUAGUGUUAUCAUUUGGCCUUACUGGUGGACCUAACACUUUCAACUUUGGGAUGAAUGACACAUUGGCUCCAUGCAUUAGGAAAUUUGUAUUGGUCUUCUUUGAUGACAUACUCGUGUUCAGUGCUUCUUAUGAAUUGCACCUGCAACAUUUGGCUGAAGUUUUGAAACUACUUCUUCAACACCAGUGGCAGGUCAAACUAUCUAAAUGUGCUUUUGCUCAG